rnacentral:rRNA from 1 species
GCACGGGUGCGUACACGUAUGUAACCUACCUUUGUCAGGGGGAUAGCCUCUCGAAAGAGAGGUUAAGCCCGCAUGAAAUCACAAGGUGGCAUCACCAAAUGAUCAAAUAUUUAUAGGACAAAGAUGGGCAUGCGGAACAUUAGCUAGUUGGCGGGGUAACGGCCCACCAAGGCGACGAUGUUUAGGGGAUCUGAGAGGAUGACCCCCCACACUGGUACUGAGACACGGACCAGACUCCUACGGGAGGCAGCAGUAAGGAAUAUUGGUCAAUGGGCGGAAGCCUGAACCAGCCAUGCCGCGUGCAGGAAGACGGCCCUACGGGUUGUAAACUGCUUUUGCAGGGGAAUAAACCUCAGUAUGUAUACUGAGCUGAAUGUACCUUGAGAAUAAGGAUCGGCUAACUCCGUGCCAGCAGCCGCGGUAAUACGGAGGAUCCGAGCGUUAUCCGGAUUUAUUGGGUUUAAAGGGUGCGUAGGCGGCCUUGUAAGUCAGGGGUGAAAGACGGUAGCUUAACUAUCGCAGUGCCCUUGAUACCGCAGGGCUUGAAUGUAGUUGAGGUAGGCGGAAUGUGACAAGUAGCGGUGAAAUGCAUAGAUAUGUCACAGAACACCAAUUGCGAAGGCAGCUUACUAAAGUAUGAUUGACGCUGAGGCACGAAAGCGUGGGGAUCAAACAGGAUUAGAUACCCUGGUAGUCCACGCCCUAAACGAUGAACACUCGAUGUUGGCGAUAUACAGUCAGCGUCAAAGCGAAAGCGUUAAGUGUUCCACCUGGGGAGUACGCCCGCAAGGGUGAAACUCAAAGGAAUUGACGGGGGCC